CAAAAUUUUAAGAGAUUUUGAAAAGAGACGAAUUUAGGAGAAUGGCCUGUCAGCUAAUGUAGGUCCUAAUAGUUUUGCAAAUUCAUGAACAUAAGGAAGUGAAAGAUGAAUUAAAGAAGGAGAAUCACUAAAGACUAACCUUUGGCUGAUGUCAUGUGGAUUCAGGUCAUGACAGAAGAAUUUUAACUUGGGACCUUUUAAUAUCUU
rnacentral:misc_RNA from 1 species